AGGUGGACUUUGGCUCCCCUCCUCUCAGUCAGCUUUAAUCCUUCUAAUCCUUAUCAGGGUCACUCAGUCUGUGUGACACUCUUAAUUUGGUCCCAAUGCUUGUUAUGUGUCAAUGUUGCGUGUAACUACAUUUUGAUAUUUUGUCCAUUUAGCUUCGGAAAACCUGCUUGCGCAGUUCGAUGCGCAUCAGUGGUUCUCGCAGACAACAAAAUGGAGGCCAAGACAAGGCUCUCAUGAUGCGCUCAGCUGAACAGCGGGGGUCAAAAUGAUUGCACCACAGCAUUUCCCUAAUUGCCUGCUCAACAUGAACAACAGUAAUAACAAUGCUGA